UACGUAGGGGGCAAGCGUUGUCCGGAUUUACUGGGCGUAAAGGGCGCGUAGGCGGCCUGGUCAGUCGGAUGUGAAAGCCCGGGGCUCAACCCCGGAACGGCAUCCGAGACGGCGAGGCUGGAGACCGGGAGAGGAGAGUGGAAUAGCCAGUGUAGAGGUGAAAUUCGUAGAUAUUGGCUGGAACACCGGUGGCGAAAGCGGCUCUCUGGCCCGGUUCUGACGCUGAGGCGCGAAAGCGUGGGGAGCAAACAGG
rnacentral:rRNA from 1 species